rnacentral:rRNA from 1 species
GACGAACGCUGGCGGCGUGCCUAAUACAUGCAAGUCGAGCGAAUCAAUAGGAGCUUGCUCCUGUUGGUUAGCGGCGGACGGGUGAGUAACACGUGGGCAACCUGCCUGUAAGACUGGGAUAACACCGGGAAACCGGUGCUAAUGCCGGAUAAUCCUUUUCCUCUCAUGAGGAAAAGCUGAAAGUCGGUUUCGGCUGACACUUACAGAUGGGCCCGCGGCGCAUUAGCUAGUUGGUGAGGUAAUGGCUCACCAAGGCGACGAUGCGUAGCCGACCUGAGAGGGUGAUCGGCCACACUGGGACUGAGACACGGCCCAGACUCCUACGGGAGGCAGCAGUAGGGAAUCUUCCACAAUGGACGAAAGUCUGAUGGAGCAACGCCGCGUGAGCGAUGAAGGCCUUCGGGUCGUAAAGCUCUGUUGUUAGGGAAGAACAAGUACCGGAGUAACUGCCGGUACCUUGACGGUACCUAACCAGAAAGCCACGGCUAACUACGUGCCAGCCGCCGCAGUAAAAC